rnacentral:rRNA from 1 species
CCAAUAGCGUAUAUUAAAGUUGCUGCGGUUAAAAAGCUCGUAGUUGAAUUUCGGAAUUGAUGCAUCGGUCGUGCCUUAAGGGGCAUGAACUGGUGUAGCUAAUUUCUCACCUUCUGGUGAAUUGUGAUGUUCUUAAUAGGUGUCUCAAUGAACUAGAAUUUUUUACUUUGAAAAAAUUAGAGUGUUUAAAGCAGGCAUGGAUUUGCUUGAAUACAUUAGCAUGGAAUAAUGAAAUAGGACAGUGGUCCCGUUUUGUUGGUUUCUAGGAUCACGUAAUGAUUAAUAGGGACAGUUGGGGGCAUUAGUAUUCAAUUGUCAGAGGUGAAAUUCUUGGAUUUAUUGAAGACUAACUAUUGCGAAAGCAUUUUCCAAGGAUGUUUUCAUUAAUCAAGAACGAAAGUUAGGGGAUCAAAGACGAUUAAGUACGUCGUAGUCCUAACCAUAAACUAUACCAACUAGGAAUCAGACGAUGUUAAUUUUUUAAUGACUCGUUUGGUACCUUACG